UACGUAGGGUGCGAGCGUUAAUCGGAAUUACUGGGCGUAAAGCGUGCGCAGGCGGUUCGUGAUGUCUGAUGUGAAAGCCCCGGGCUCAACCUGGGAACUGCAUUGGAAACUAGCGGGCUGGAGUGUGGCGGAGGGGGGUGGAAUUCCACGUGUAGCAGUGAAAUGCGUAGAGAUGUGGAGGAACACCGAUGGCGAAGGCAGCCCCCUGGGUCAAGAUUGACGCUCAUGCACGAAAGCGUGGGGAGCAAACAGG
rnacentral:rRNA from 1 species